rnacentral:pre_miRNA from 1 species
CGGUGUGUGAAUGUCCCACGUCAUGCUGUGUGGUGGUAGAACGUGUUACAUAGUGUGUGACCUUCCUAUACAGC